UACGUAGGGGGCAAGCGUUGUCCGGAUUUACUGGGCGUAAAGAGCGCGCAGGCGGUCGUUCAAGUCGAGUGUGAAAGCCCCCGGCUCAACUGGGGAGGGUCAUUCGAUACUGAUCGACUUGAAGGCAGGAGAGGGAAGCGGAAUUCCCGGUGUAGUGGUGAAAUGCGUAGAUAUCGGGAGGAACACCAGUGGCGAAGGCGGCUUUCUGGACGGUUACUGACGCUGAGACGCGAAAGCGUGGGGAGCAAACAGGG
rnacentral:rRNA from 1 species